rnacentral:rRNA from 1 species
GAAUAAUGCCAAAACCAUUACCCUGGACGGUGG